rnacentral:rRNA from 1 species
UACGUAGGGUGCAAGCGUUGUCCGGAAUUAUUGGGCGUAAAGCGUCCGCAGGUGGCACCUCAAGUCUGCUGUCAAAGACCGGGGCUUAACCCCAGAAAGGCAGUGGAAACUGAAGUGCUAGAGUGCAGUAGGGGUAGAGGGAAUUCCCGGUGUAGCGGUGAAAUGCGUAGAGAUCGGGAAGAACAUCGGUGGCGAAAGCGCUCUGCUGGACUGCAACUGACACUCAGGGACGAAAGCUAGAGGAGCGAAUGGG